rnacentral:rRNA from 2 species
GAUUUUCGCAAUGCCCGAAAGGGUGACGAAGCGACGCCGCGUGCGGGAAGAAGGCCUUCGGGUUGUAAACCGCUGUCGGGAGUUAAGAAAUGUAAGGAUGUUAAUAGCAUCUUUGCUUGACUAAGGCUCCGGAGGAAGCCACGGCUAACUCUGUGCCAGCAGCCGCGGUAAUACAGAGGCGGCAAGCGUUGUUCGGAAUUAUUGGGCGUAAAGAGCACGUAGGCGGCUAUGUAAGUCGGUUGUGAAAGCCUUCCGCUCAACGGGAGAACAGCAUCCGAUACUGCAUGGCUUGAGUGCGGGAGGGGAGAGUGGAACUUCUGGUGGAGCGGUGAAAUGCGUAGAUAUCAGAAGGAACGCCGGCGGCGAAAGCGGCUCUCUGGCCCAUAACUGACGCUGAGUGUGCGAAAGCUAGGGGAGCAAACGGGAUUAGAUACCCCGGUAGUCCUAGCCGUAAACGAUGGGCACUAAGUAGAGGGGUUUUAAUC